GUUCCGUAGGUGAACCUGCGGAAGGAUCAUUAAAGAGUAAGGGUCUUCGGGCCCGAUCUCCAACCCUUUGUUUAACUACCAUGUUGCUUUGGCGGGCCCGUCUCACGACCGCCGGAAGUUUGGCUUCGACCAAACUUCUGGCCCGUGCCCGUCAGUGGCCCCUUCAAAUUCUUGAUCAAGUAUGAUGUCUUAGUUAAAAACUUAAUAGUUAAAACUUUCAACAACGGAUCUCUUGGUUCUG
rnacentral:misc_RNA from 1 species